GAAGAGAGUUGCUGUGACCCGCUCAGCUGCAGCCCCAGCACUGCUUGUAGGAUGUGCCAUUGUCACCAGCCUGCUGUCUCCUCAUUAGUUCUCCCUCCUCAGUCUUGUCCAGACAGCUUAGACUUCCUGGUCUCUUUCCCAGAGAGGGAUGAGGAAAUGGCAGCCAGAAGAAGAUGUGCUGCAUUUCUGGGGGGACCACGUGGCCUGCAUCUCUCUUCCUCUGUGGCCUCCACCCUUCUCAGAGUCUGCACCAAGUACUGACGACUCCUCCCCGAUGUCAGCCACAGCCACCCAGUUCCAAGCAGGGGAGGUGGUAGCUUUCUCCUCUGCUGGCCUUAGCACAGCCUUGGGGACCCAGAGGAACUUCAUCAUAUUGAUUCGCCAUUGAUAGAACCCAUCUUUAGGCCACUGGUUCUCAAACAUAAGCAUGUAUCAGAAUUGCCUGGCAGGCUUGUUAAAACCUGAAUUACUGGCCCCAACACCAGCUUCU